rnacentral:tRNA from 1 species
UAGCCUUCCAAGCUAACGAUGCGGGUUCGAUUCCCGCUACCCGCUC